rnacentral:rRNA from 1 species
GUYCUUUUGUUUAAAAUUUAAGGUYGGACCUGCCCMCUGAAAUUUUAAAUGGCCGUGGUAUUUUGACCGUGCUAAGGUAGCAUAAUCAUUAGUUUUUUAAUUGAAAGCUGGAAUGAAGGGUUUGAUAAGAAAAUAACUGUCUCUAUUUAAUUUUAUUAGAAUUUUAUUUUUAAGUUAAAAAGCUUAAUUUAAAUUAAAAGACGAGAAGACCCUAUAGAGUUUUACAUUUAAGGAUUAAUUUUUAUUUUAGAAUUUAUAAAAUUUUUUUAAAAGUGUUUAAUUGGGGUGAUUGAAAAAUUUAAUGAACUUUUUUUAAAUUUGACCAUUAAUUUAUGAAUUUUUGAUCCAAUUUAUUUGAUUAUAAGAUAAAAUUACCUUAGGGAUAACAGCGUAAUUUUUUUAGAGAGUUCAAAUUAAAAGAAAAGAUUGCGACCUCGAUGUUGGAUUAAAAUUUAAUUUUGGUGUAGGAGCUAGAAAUUUAGGUCUGUUCGACCUUUAAAAUUUUACA